GACGAACGCUGGCGGCGUGCUUAACACAUGCAAGUCGAACGGAAAGGCCCUGCUUUUGUGGGGUGCUCGAGUGGCGAACGGGUGAGUAACACGUGAGUAACCUGCCCUUGACUUUGGGAUAACUUCAGGCAACUGGGGAUAAUACCGGAUAGGAGCGCCUGCUGCAUGGUGGGGGUUGGAACGUUUCGGCGGGUGGGGAUGGACUCGCGGCUUAUCAGCUUGUUGGUGGGGUAGUGGCUUACCAAGGCUUUGACGGGUAGCCGGCCUGAGAGGGUGACCGGCCACAUUGGGACUGAGAUACGGCCCAGACUCCUACGGGAGGCAGCAGUGGGGAAUAUUGCACAAUGGGCGGAAGCCUGAUGCAGCAACGCCGCGUGCGGGAUGACGGCCUUCGGGUUGUAAACCGCUUUCGCCUGUGACGAAGCGUGAGUGACGGUAAUGGGUAAAGAAGCACCGGCUAACUACGUG
rnacentral:rRNA from 1 species